rnacentral:lncRNA from 1 species
GAACUAGGAACUACGGAGAGAGAAGCCAAGGGAGAGGAGGAGGAGGAAACUAACGAUUCCCUGCCCACCCCCACACCCAGCACCACCAACAGGUGGGCAAGCUUGCCGAGAAAACGCAGAGGGCAUCCUGUGAGCAGCAAACACAUCUGAGCCUGGAAAAGACGCAGAGAAGUAAAAGAUCAAAGUCUGAUUGGCACCGGCUCCCAUUCCGGCUCCAGCCUCCAAUCCGACCCCCAUUUCGGCUGCAGCCUCGGACCUAGCUCCGGCCCUCGGUCUAUCCGGUUGCAUCCUCCCUCCCUGUUCCGGAUCUUAUCUUGCGCCAGCGCCUACUCCAGGAUCCCGUAGCCAGACCUCAAGCCAUGGCUGGUCCCUUCUCCCGUCUGCUGUCCGCCCGCCCGGGACUCAGGCUCCUGGCUUUGGCCGGAGCGGGGUCUCUAGCCGCUGGGUUUCUGCUCCGACCGGAACCUGUACGAGCUGCCAGUGAACGACGGAGGCUGUAUCCCCCGAGGUAACAGUGCCUGAGGCGCGGGAGGAGGCGGGGGCAGGAGGUGAUGGGAACGAAG